rnacentral:rRNA from 1 species
GCCGCGGUAAUUCCAGCUCCAAUAGCGUAUAUUAACGUUGUUGCAGUUAAAAAGCUCGUAGUUGAAGUGUGGGUGAUCGCUGUUGUGAGACUUCGGUCUCUCGACAGUAAGUCACCCCCUUCCAGUAUCCAGUAGUGGGUAUUCAGUUACUUACUAUUGUGUGUUGGUCGUUUACUGUGAGAAAAUUAGAGUGUUCAAAGCAGGCGUUUGCUUGAAUAGAUUAGCAUGGAAUAAUAAUUGAAGGCUUUCGUGUUCGAUUUGAUUGGUUUGUUCAUGGAAGCAAGGUUAAAAGGAACAGUUGGGGGUAUUCAUAUUCACUAGUUAGAGGUGAAAUUCUCGGAUUUAUGGAAGAUGAACAAGUGCGAAAGCAA